rnacentral:rRNA from 1 species
UAGCGGCGGACGGGUGAGUAACACGUAGGUAACCUGCCCUAAGAUGGGUAACCCACGGAAACGUGAGCUAAUACCAGUAGGCAUUUUUCCUCGCAUGAGGGAAAUGAGAAAGGCGGAGCAAUCUGUCACUUAUGGAUGGACCUGCGGCGCAUUAGCUAGUUGGUAAGGUAACGGCUUACCAAGGCGACGAUGCGUAGCCGACCUGAGAGGGUGAUCGGCCACACUGGGACUGAGACACGGCCCAGACUCCUACGGGAGGCAGCAGUAGGGAAUCUUCCGCAAUGGACGAAAGUCUGACGGAGCAACGCCGCGUGAGUGAUGAAGGUUUUCGGAUCGUAAAGCUCUGUUGCCAGGGAAGAACGCCUAGGAGAGUAACUGCUCCUAGGGUGACGGUACCUGAGAAGAAAGCCCCGGCUAACUA